rnacentral:rRNA from 1 species
AUUGAACGCCGGCGGCAGGCUUAACACAUGCAAGUCGAGCGGAGAGAGGUAGCUUGCUACUGAUCUUAGCGGCGGACGGGUGAGUAAUGCUUAGGAAUCUGCCUAUUAGUGGGGGACAACAUUUCGAAAGGAAUGCUAAUACAGCAUACGUCCUACGGGAGAAAGCAGGGGAUCUUCGGACCUUGCGCUAAUAGAUGAGCCUAAGUCGGAUUAGCUAGUUGGUGGGGUAAAGGCCUACCAAGGCGACGAUCUGUAGCGGGUCUGAGAGGAUGAUCCGCCACACUGGGACUGAGACACGGCCCAGACUCCUACGGGAGGCAGCAGUGGGGAAUAUUGGACAAUGGGCGCAAGCCUGAUCCAGCCAUGCCGCGUGUGUGAAGAAGGCCUUAUGGUUGUAAAGCACUUUAAGCGAGGAGGAGGCUACUUUAGAUAAUACCUAGAGAUAGUGGACGUUACUCGCAGAAUAAGCACCGGCUAACUCUGUGCCAGCAGCCGCGGUAA